CUCGUAGGCGGUUCGGUAAGUCGGGUGUGAAACCUCCAGACUCAACCUGGAGACGCCACCCGAUACUGCUGUGACUAGAGUCCGGUAGGGGAGCGUGGAAUUCCUGGUGUAGCGGUGAAAUGCGCAGAUAUCAGGAGGAACACCAGCGGCGAAGGCGGCGCUCUGGGCCGGAACUGACGCUGAGGAGCGAAAGCGUGGGGAGCAAACA
rnacentral:rRNA from 1 species